CGGAGGAUCCAAGCGUUAUCCGGAAUCAUUGGGUUUAAAGGGUCCGUAGGCGGGUUUAUAAGUCAGUGGUGAAAGCCCAUCGCUCAACGAUGGAACGGCCAUUGAUACUGUAGAUCUUGAAUUAUUAGGAAGUAACUAGAAUAUGUAGUGUAGCGGUGAAAUGCUUAGAGAUUACAUGGAAUACCAAUUGCGAAGGCAGGUUACUACUAAUGGAUUGACGCUGAUGGACGAAAGCGUGGGUAGCGAACAGGAUUAGAUACCCUGGUAGUCCACGCCGUAAACGAUGGACACUAGCUGUUCGGAGCAAUCUGAGUGGCUAAGCGAAAGUGAUAAGUAUCCCACCUGGGGAGUACGUUCGCAAGAAUG
rnacentral:rRNA from 1 species